AUUGAACGCUGGCGGCAGGCCUAACACAUGCAAGUCGAGCGGUAGAGAGAAGCUUGCUUCUCUUGAGAGCGGCGGACGGGUGAGUAAUGCCUAGGAAUCUGCCUAGUGGUGGGGGAUAACGUUCGGAAACGGACGCUAAUACCGCAUACGAUCUAUGGAUGAAAGCGGGGGAUCGCAAGACCUCGCGCGAUUGGAGCGGCCGAUAUCAGAUUAGGUAGUUGGUGAGGUAAAGGCUCACCAAGCCGACGAUCUGUAGCUGGUCUGAGAGGACGACCAGCCACACUGGGACUGAGACACGGCCCAGACUCCUACGGGAGGCAGCAGUGGGGAAUUUUGGACAAUGGGCGCAAGCCUGAUCCAGCAAUGCCGCGUGCAGGAUGAAGGCCUUCGGGUUGUAAACUGCUUUUGUACGGAACGAAACGGUGAGCUCUAAUACAGUUUGCUAAUGACGGUACCGUAAGAAUAAGCACCGGCUAACUACGUG
rnacentral:rRNA from 1 species